rnacentral:rRNA from 1 species
UACAGAGGGGGCAAGCGUUGUUCGGAAUUACUGGGCGUAAAGGGCGCGUAGGCGGCCUGUUAAGUCGAACGUGAAAUCCCCGGGCUCAACCCGGGAACUGCGUCCGAUACUGGCAGGCUUGAAUCCGGGAGAGGGAUGCGGAAUUCCAGGUGUAGCGGUGAAAUGCGUAGAUAUCAGGAGGAACACCGGUGGCGAAGGCGGGUCUCUGGGCCGAAACUGACGCUGAGGAGCGAAAGCGUGGGGAGCAAACAGG